rnacentral:rRNA from 1 species
UACAGAGGGUGCGAGCGUUAAUCGGAAUUACUGGGCGUAAAGCGCACGUAGGCGGCUUGGUAUGUCGGGUGUGAAAUCCCCGGGCUCAACCUGGGAACUGCAUCCGAAACUGCCUUGCUCGAGUAUGGGAGAGGGAAGUGGAAUUUCCGGUGUAGCGGUGAAAUGCGUAGAUAUCGGAAGGAACACCAGUAGCGAAGGCGGACUCGGCUGGCCACACCGUGACGCUGAGACGCGAAAGCUAGGGGAGCGAACG